UACGGGGGGCAAGCGUUGUUCGGAAUUACUGGGCGUAAAGGGCUCGUAGGCGGCCAACUAAGUCAGACGUGAAAUCCCUCGGCUUAACCGGGGAACUGCGUCUGAUACUGGAUGGCUUGAGAUUGGGAGAGGGAUGCGGAAUUCCAGGUGUAGCGGUGAAAUGCGUAGAUAUCUGGAGGAACACCGGUGGCGAAGGCGGCUUCCUGGACCGACACUGACGCUGAGGCGCGAAAGCUAGGGGAGCAAACGGG
rnacentral:rRNA from 1 species